AACGCACAUUGCGCCCUUUGGUAUUCCGAAGGGCAUGCCUGUUCGAGCGUCAUUAUCACCCCUCAAGCCCUCGUGCUUGGUGUUGGACGGUCUGGCGGAAGUGUCGUGCACCCCGCCCCUCCUAAAGACAAUGACGGCGGCCUCGUGGAACCCCCGGUACACUGAGCUUCUUUACCGAGCACGUAUCGGAUCAAGGGCGCCCGGGACACGGUCUUCUCCCUCAUGUGGGAAACAUUGCAAGGUUGACCUCGGAUCAGGUAGGAAUACGCGCUGAACUUAA
rnacentral:misc_RNA from 1 species